rnacentral:rRNA from 1 species
AGUGAACGCUGGCGGUAGGCCUAACACAUGCAAGUCGAACGGCAGCACAGUAAGAGCUUGCUCUUACGGGUGGCGAGUGGCGGACGGGUGAGGAGUACAUCGGAAUCUACUUUUUCGUGGGGGAUAACGUAGGGAAACUUACGCUAAUACCGCAUACGACCUACGGGUGAAAGCAGGGGAUCUUCGGACCUUGCGCGAUUGAAUGAGCCGAUGUCGGAUUAGCUAGUUGGCGGGGUAAAGGCCCACCAAGUCGACGAUCCGUAGCCGGUCUGAGAGGAUGAUCAGCCACACUGGAACUGAGACACGGUCCAGACUCCUACGGGAGGCAGCAGUGGGGAAUAUUGGACAAUGGGCGCAAGCCUGAUCCAGCCAUACCGCGUGGGUGAAGAAGGCCUUCGGGGUGUAAAGCCCUUUUGUUGGGAAAGAAAAGCAGCAGGUUAAUACCCCGCUGUUCUGACGGUACCCAAAGAAUAAGCACCGGCUAACUUCGUG